CAUCUAGUCCAAGGGUGGCCAACCUGAGUCUGACAAGGAGCCAGAAUUUACCAAUGUACAUUGCCAAAGAGCCACAGUAAUAUGUCAGCAGCCCCCC